GAGGGUGUAGCUCAGUGUAGAGCACAUGCUUAGCAUGCAUGAGGUCCUAGGCUCCAUCCCCAGCACCUCCA
rnacentral:tRNA from 1 species